UACGAAGGGGGCAAGCGUUGUUCGGAUUUACUGGGCGUAAAGGGUGCGUAGGCGGUUCUCUAAGUUGGAUGUGAAAGCCCAGGGCUCAACCCUGGAAUAGCAUUCAAAACUGAAGAACUCGAGUGUGGAAGAGGAUGGUGGAAUUCCCAGUGUAGAGGUGAAAUUCGUAGAUAUUGGGAAGAACACCCGUGGCGAAGGCGGCCAUCUGGUCCAUAACUGACGCUGAGGCACGAAAGCGUGGGGAGCAAACAGG
rnacentral:rRNA from 1 species